UCGGACGUCGGGUGUAAGAGUGCAGAGGA
rnacentral:sRNA from 1 species